CUUGUAUUCCUGCCUGACUUGAGUGCAUUGUUACACAUGGAAGGAGGACUACUUCAUGAGAGACAAGGGUGAAGGAGGAGAAAGUGGAAGAAGGCAUCUGAAUGAGGAAGUAUGUGCUAUGAUUAUUCCCAUUUUACAAUUGUGAAAACGAAGACAAAUGGAGUUUAAGUGAUUUGCCAAAGCUCCUAUGGCCACUACUGUAUCCUGGCAGUUGGUGGAAGCAGUCAUCAAGCAAUCCAGAAGAAGAAAGAGGAAGCAAAGCAGAGAACAGAGAACCGGAAAAAAAGGUACAGCUUGGAUAAAUCACUCAGCAUCCUCAAUUGUAAAACAAGGGUAUUAACUAAUAUAGCCAUCCAUCUCAAGAUCUAUGAUAUGAUUACGAUCAUUCCAAUUUAUAAAUGAGGGAACUAAGUCUAGGAGAGGGUAAAUAAUUUACACAGGGUUUCAUAUUAAACAUCGGAGGUAGGAUUUAAACUCAAGUUUUCAUGACUUCACAUCCAGUCUUUUAUAUGCUACUCCUACCUCUAAUAAUUGCUAAUGCCUAGGCUACACUUUACCAAGUGGCAUACAUCCUAAGAGAACUGUGUGCCAAUUAGUAAGUUAUCACCUCCUGGGGGAAUCUCUCUCCUUCAAGGAAUAAUCAUUGCUGCCACAAAGACUAUAGUGAACCAAGGGAUUAAACCCUUUG
rnacentral:lncRNA from 1 species